CGCUGAACUUAAGCAUAUCAAUAAGCGGAGGAAAAGAAACCAACAGGGAUUGCCUCAGUAACGGCGAGUGAAGCGGCAACAGCUCAAAUUUUAAAUCUGGCUCUUGCAGAGUCCGAAUUGUAAUUUGUAGAGGAUGCUUUGAGUUUGGCUCCAGCCUAAGUUCCUUGGAACAGGAUGUCAUAGAGGGUGAGAAUCCCGUAUGUGGCUGGAGUGUAUACUUAUGUGAAGCUCCUUCGACGAGUCGAGUUGUUUGGGAAUGCAGCUCAAAAUGGGUGGUAAAUUUCAUCUAAAGCUAAAUAUUGGCGGGAGACCGAUAGCGCACAAGUAGAGUGAUCGAAAGAUGAAAAGCACUUUGGAAAGAGAGUUAAAAAGUACGUGAAAUUGUUGAAAGGGAAGCGCUUGCAACCAGACUUGUCUUUAGUUGUUCUAUUAGUGUUACUCACUGGUUCAUUCAGCUAAGGACAGGCCAGCAUCGGUUUGGGUGGCUAGAUAAAGAUUGUAGGAAUGUAGCUCUCUUCGGAGAGUGUUAUAGCCUAUAAUGCCAUGUGGCCAACCUGGACCGAGGACCGCGCUUUAUUGCUAGGAUGCUGGCGUAAUGGUUGUAAGCGACCCGUCUUGAAACACGGACC
rnacentral:rRNA from 1 species